rnacentral:rRNA from 1 species
AACGAACGCUGGCGGCAUGCCUAACACAUGCAAGUCGAACGAGACCUUCGGGUCUUGUGGCGCACGGGUGCGUACCGCGUGGGAACCUGCCCUUAGGUUCGGAAUAACUCCCCGAAAGGGGUGCUAAUACCGGAUAAUGUCUUCGGACCAAAGAUUUAUCGCCUUUGGAUGGGCCCGCGUUGGAUUAGCUAGUUGGUAGGGUAAAAGCCUACCAAGGCGACGAUCCAUAGCUGGUCUGAGAGGAUGAUCAGCCACACUGGGACUGAGACACGGCCCAGACUCCUACGGGAGGCAGCAGUGGGGAAUAUUGGACAAUGGGCGAAAGCCUGAUCCAGCAAUGCCGCGUGAGUGAUGAAGGCCGUAGGGUUGUAAAGCUCUUUUACCCGGGAUGAUAAUGACAGUACCGGGAGAAUAAGCUCCGGCUAACUCCGUG